rnacentral:rRNA from 1 species
UGGUCAAGUUAUUAAGGGUGCAGGGCGGAUGCCUUGGCACUAGGAGCCGAUGAAGGACGUGAUAAGCUGCGAUAAGCUUCGGGGAGUUGCACGUAAACUUUGAUCCGAAGAUUUCCGAAUGAGGAAACUCACUUAGAGUAAUGUCUAAGUAUCAUUAAGUGAAUACAUAGCUUAAUGAGGGGAACUCAGGGAACUGAAACAUCUAAGUACCUGAAGGAAGAGAAAGAAAUUCGAUUCCGUAAGUAGCGGCGAGCGAACGCGGAUUAGCCCAAACCAAUAAAGUUUUCUUUAUUGGGGUUGCGGACAUAUCAUAACGAAGAGGUAUCGUAAUUGAAGAGGUUUGGAAAGACCCACCACAGAAGGUAAUAGUCCUGUAUGUUAAACGAGAAGACUUUAGAUAUGAUCCAGAGUACCACGGGACACGUGAAACCCUGUGGGAAGCAGGAGGGACCACCCUCCAAGGCUAAAUACUACCUAGUGACCGAUAGCGUAUAGUACCGUGAGGGAAAGGUGAAAAGAACCCCGGGAGGGGAGUGAAAUAGAACCUGAAACCCUGCACUUACAAGCUGUGGAAGCACAUUUCUUGUGUGACCGCGUACUUUUUGUAGAACGGGCCAACGAGUUACGUUAAGUAGCAAGGUUAAGCACUUAAGGUGCGGAGCCGUAGCGAAAGCGAGUUUUAACUGAGCGUUCAGUUACUUGACGUAGACCCGAAACCGGGCGACCUACCCAUGAGCAGGAUGAAGCGAAAGUAAAAUUUCGUGGAGGUCCGAACCCACGAGCGUUGAAAAGCUCGGGGAUGACUUGUGGGUAGCGGUGAAAUUCCAAUCGAGCCCGGAGAUAGCUGGUUCUCCCCGAAAUAGCUUUAGGGCUAGCCUCAAGGUGAGAGAUACGGAGGUAGAGCACUGAAUGUCCUAGGGGGUAUUGCACCUACCGAAGACUAUCAAACUCCGAAUGCCGUCAUCUUAUACUUGGGAGUCAGACUGUGGGUGAUAAGAUUCAUAGUCGAAAGGGCAACAGCCCAGAUCGUCAGCUAAGGUCCCUAAAUGUAAGUUAAGUGGUAAAGGAUGUGGGAUUGCACAGACAACCAGGAUGUUGGCUUAGAAGCAGCCACUCAUUCAAAGAGUGCGUAAUAGCUCACUGGUCGAGUGAUCCUGCGCCGAAGAUUUCCGGGGCUAAAACUUACUACCGAAGCUACGGCAUCAGUAAUGAUGGGUAGGGGAGCUUCCCAUACGGGUUGAAGCAUGACCGUAAGGACAUGUGGAC